rnacentral:rRNA from 1 species
AGUGAACGCUGGCGGUAGGCCUAACACAUGCAAGUCGAGCGGCAGCACGGUAAGAGCUUGCUCUUCGGGCGGCGAACGGGCGGAGGGUGCAGGAGAACAUGCCAAUUCAUUUUUGGUAGGGGGUCAAGUGAGGUACAAUUACCCAAUACCUCCUAAGGACGAAAGGGGGAAAUCGGAAGACCUCGCGCGUUUGGCGUGUUCGAUGUCGGAUUAGCUAGUUGGUGGGGUAAAGGCCUACCAAGGCGACGAUCCGUAGCUGGUCUGAGAGGAUGAUCAGCCACACUGGAACUGAGACACGGUCCAGACUCCUACGGGAGGCAGCAGUGGGGAAUAUUGGACAAUGGGCGCAAGCCUGAUCCAGCCAUACCGCGUGGGUGAAGAAGGCCUUCGGGUUGUAAAGCUCUUUUGUUGGGAAAGAAAAGCAGCAGGUUAAUACCCCGCUGUUCUGACGGUACCCAAAGAAUAAGCACCGGCUAACUUCGUG